rnacentral:rRNA from 1 species
CCACGGGUGGCAGCAGUGAGGAAUAUUGGUCAAUGGACGAGAGUCUGAACCAGCCAAGUAGCGUGAAGGAUGACUGUCCUAUGGGUUGUAAACUUCUUGUAUAUGGGAAUAAAAUGUUCCACGUGUGGGAUUUUGUAGGUACCAUAUGAAUAAGGAUCGGCUAACUCGGUGCCAGCAGCCGCGGUAAUACGGAGGAUGCGAGCGUUAGCCGGAUUUAGUGGGUUUAAAGGGAGCGUAGGUGGUUUCUUAAGUCAGUUGUGAAAGUAUGCGGCUCAACCGUAAAAUUGCAGUUGAAACUGGCAGUCUUGAGUACAGUAGAGGUGGGCGGAAUUCGUGGUGUAGCGGUGAAAUGCUUAGAUAUCACGAAGAACUCCGAUUGCGAAGGCAGCUCACUGGACAGCAACUGACACUGAGGCUCGAAAGUGUGGGUAUCAAACAGGAUUAGAUACCCCAGUAGUC